rnacentral:rRNA from 1 species
GGGUUGUGAGGUUAAGCGACUAAGCGUACACGGUGGAUGCCCUGGCAGUCAGAGGCGAUGAAGGACGUGCUAAUCUGCGAUAAGCGUCGGUAAGGUGAUAUGAACCGUUAUAACCGGCGAUUUCCGAAUGGGGAAACCCAGUGUGUUUCGACACACUAUCAUUAACUGAAUCCAUAGGUUAAUGAGGCGAACCGGGGGAACUGAAACAUCUAAGUACCCCGAGGAAAAGAAAUCAACCGAGAUUCCCCCAGUAGCGGCGAGCGAACGGGGAGCAGCCCAGAGCCUGAAUCAGUGUGUGUGUUAGUGGAAGCGUCUGGAAAGGCGCGCGAUACAGGGUGACAGCCCCGUACACAAAAAUGCACAUGCUGUGAGCUCGAUGAGUAGGGCGGGACACGUGGUAUCCUGUCUGAAUAUGGGGGGACCAUCCUCCAAGGCUAAAUACUCCUGACUGACCGAUAGUGAACCAGUACCGUGAGGGAAAGGCGAAAAGAACCCCGGCGAGGGGAGUGAAAAAGAACCUGAAACCGUGUACGUACAAGCAGUGGGAGCACAGAGCAAUCUGUGUGACUGCGUACCUUUUGUAUAAUGGGUCAGCGACUUAUAUUCUGUAGCAAGGUUAACCGAAUAGGGGAGCCGAAGGGAAACCGAGUCUUAACUGGGCGUUAAGUUGCAGGGUAUAGACCCGAAACCCGGUGAUCUAGCCAUGGGCAGGUUGAAGGUUGGGUAACACUAACUGGAGGACCGAACCGACUAAUGUUGAAAAAUUAGCGGAUGACUUGUGGCUGGGGGUGAAAGGCCAAUCAAACCGGGAGAUAGCUGGUUCUCCCCGAAAGCUAUUUAGGUAGCGCCUCGUGAAUUCAUCUCCGGGGGUAGAGCACUGUUUCGGCAAGGGGGUCAUCCCGACUUACCAACCCGAUGCAAACUGCGAAUACCGGAGAAUGUUAUCACGGGAGACACACGGCGGGUGCUAACGUCCGUCGUGAAGAGGGAAACAACCCAGACCGCCAGCUAAGGUCCCAAAGUCAUGGUUAAGUGGGAAACGAUGUGGGAAGGCCCAGACAGCCAGGAUGUUGGCUUAGAAGCAGCCAUCAUUUAAAGAAAGCGUAAUAGCUCACUGGUCGAGUCGGCCUGCGCGGAAGAUGUAACGGGGCUAAACCAUGCACCGAAGCUGCGGCAGCGACGCUUAUGCGUUGUUGGGUAGGGGAGCGUUCUGUAAGCCUGCGAAGGUGUGCUGUGAGGCAUGCUGGAGGUAUCAGAAGUGCGAAUGCUGACAUAAGUAACGAUAAAGCGGGUGAAAAGCCCGCUCGCCGGAAGACCAAGGGUUCCUGUCCAACGUUAAUCGGGGCAGGGUGAGUCGACCCCUAAGGCGAGGCCGAAAGGCGUAGUCGAUGGGAAACAGGUUAAUAUUCCUGUACUUGGUGUUACUGCGAAGGGGGGACGGAGAAGGCUAUGUUGGCCGGGCGACGGUUGUCCCGGUUUAAGCGUGUAGGCUGGUUUUCCAGGCAAAUCCGGAAAAUCAAGGCUGAGGCGUGAUGACGAGGCACUACGGUGCUGAAGCAACAAAUGCCCUGCUUCCAGGAAAAGCCUCUAAGCAUCAGGUAACAUCAAAUCGUACCCCAAACCGACACAGGUGGUCAGGUAGAGAAUACCAAGGCGCUUGAGAGAACUCGGGUGAAGGAACUAGGCAAAAUGGUGCCGUAACUUCGGGAGAAGGCACGCUGAUAUGUAGGUGAAGUCCCUCGCGGAUGGAGCUGAAAUCAGUCGAAGAUACCAGCUGGCUGCAACUGUUUAUUAAAAACACAGCACUGUGCAAACACGAAAGUGGACGUAUACGGUGUGACGCCUGCCCGGUGCCGGAAGGUUAAUUGAUGGGGUUAGCGGUAACGCGAAGCUCUUGAUCGAAGCCCCGGUAAACGGCGGCCGUAACUAUAACGGUCCUAAGGUAGCGAAAUUCCUUGUCGGGUAAGUUCCGACCUGCACGAAUGGCGUAAUGAUGGCCAGGCUGUCUCCACCCGAGACUCAGUGAAAUUGAACUCGCUGUGAAGAUGCAGUGUACCCGCGGCAAGACGGAAAGACCCCGUGAACCUUUACUAUAGCUUGACACUGAACAUUGAGCCUUGAUGUGUAGGAUAGGUGGGAGGCUUUGAAGUGUGGACGCCAGUCUGCAUGGAGCCGGCCUUGAAAUACCACCCUUUAAUGUUUGAUGUUCUAACGUUGGCCCCUGAUCGGGGUUGCGGACAGUGUCUGGUGGGUAGUUUGACUGGGGCGGUCUCCUCCUAAAGAGUAACGGAGGAGCACGAAGGUUGGCUAAUCCUGGUCGGACAUCAGGAGGUUAGUGCAAUGGCAUAAGCCAGCUUGACUGCGAGCGUGACGGCGCGAGCAGGUGCGAAAGCAGGUCAUAGUGAUCCGGUGGUUCUGAAUGGAAGGGCCAUCGCUCAACGGAUAAAAGGUACUCCGGGGAUAACAGGCUGAUACCGCCCAAGAGUUCAUAUCGACGGCGGUGUUUGGCACCUCGAUGUCGGCUCAUCACAUCCUGGGGCUGAAGUAGGUCCCAAGGGUAUGGCUGUUCGCCAUUUAAAGUGGUACGCGAGCUGGGUUUAGAACGUCGUGAGACAGUUCGGUCCCUAUCUGCCGUGGGCGCUGGAGAACUGAGGGGGGCUGCUCCUAGUACGAGAGGACCGGAGUGGACGCAUCACUGGUGUUCGGGUUGUCAUGCCAAUGGCACUGCCCGGUAGCUAAAUGCGGAAGAGAUAAGUGCUGAAAGCAUCUAAGCACGAAACUUGCCCCGAGAUGAGUUCUCCCUGACUCCUUGAGAGUCCUGAAGGAACGUUGAAGACGACGACGUUGAUAGGCCGGGUGUGUAAGCGCAGCGAUGCGUUGAGCUAACCGGUACUAAUGAACCGUGAGGCUUAACCUUACAACGCCGAAG